rnacentral:rRNA from 1 species
GAUGAACGCUAGCUACAGGCUUAACACAUGCAAGUCGCGGGGCAGCAUGGGGGUUGCUUGCAACCCCUGAUGGCGACCGGCGCACGGGUGAGUAACGCGUAUCCAACCUGCCCUUCACCACGGGAUAACCCGGCGAAAGUCGGACUAAUACCGUAUGUUGUCCAUUGACGGCAUCCGAUUUGGACGAAGGGCUUGGCGGUGAAAGGAGGGGGAUGCGUCCGAUUAGCUUGACGGCGGGGUAACGGCCCACCGUGGCUACGAUCGGGAGGGGUUCUGAGAGGAAGGUCCCCCACACUGGAACUGAGACACGGUCCAGACUCCUACGGGAGGCAGCAGUGAGGAAUAUUGGGCAAUGGGCGUAAGCCUGAACCAGCCAAGUAGCGUGCAGGAGGACGGCCCUAUGGGUUGUAAACUGCUUUUAUGCGGGGAUAAAGUGGCCCACGUGUGGGCUUUUGCAGGUACCGCAUGAAUAAGGACCGGCUAAUUCCGUG